GACGAACGCUGGCGGCGUGCCUAAUACAUGCAAGUAGAACGCUGAAGGAGGAGCUUGCUUCUCUGGAUGAGUUGCGAACGGGUGAGUAACGCGUAGGUAACCUGCCUGGUAGCGGAGGAUAACUAUUGGAAACGAUAGCUAAUACCGCAUAAUAGCAGUUAUUGCAUGAUAACUGUUUGAAAGGUGCAAUUGCACCACUACCAGAUGGCCCUGCGUUGUAUUAGCUAGUUGGUGGGGUAACGGCUCACCAAGGCGACGAUACAUAGCCGACCUGAGAGGGGGAUCGGCCACACUGGGACUGAGACACGGCCCAGACUCCUACGGGAGGCAGCAGUAGGGAAUCUUCGGCAAUGGACGGAAGUCUGACCGAGCAACGCCGCGUGAGUGAAGAAGGUUGUCGGAUCGUAAAGCUCUGUUGUAAGAGAAGAACGAGUGUGAGAGUGGAAAGUUCACACUGUGACGGUAGCUUACCAGAAAGGGACGGCUAACUACGUG
rnacentral:rRNA from 1 species